AUGAAAAGAAGGAUUCGUACGGAAGAAGGAACACCACCUAAGUCGAAACUUGAUCUCGUGAGAGAUGUUGAGGAAGAUAUUAUGCUAAUGGACACUGUUGGGGGGAAAAGAUCUAUUAUGAAUAACACUAUGGCAGCUAUUGAGGUGGUUCAUCAUAUGAAGUCUAAAAGUAAGGUCGGGAUUGGUGAUAAAGCUCUUAAACUUGAUACAAGGGAAGUUUAUGACAUGAUUGAUUGGGGGUUAUCUUAA